GAGAAAGGCCUGGAACGGACUGGUCCUGAGUCGGAGAUGGACUCGUAGGGCUAGGACUCGCAGGAGAUGAGCCGGAAAUGGCCACAAAACAUGAUUCGGAGAGCUUCUAAGCCGGGGUCUUCAAGGUCAGACCUUGAAUCUUCAUGCAAAAGGAGGAUAAGGGUGAGUUGGGGUAGAUAUAGGUUACACAGGGCCUGAGAGGCCAUGAUUUCCGGUGGAAUAAGGUCAGAGACCAGUGGAGUGGGCUAGGGUUUCAGAGGGUGGUUGAGAGUGUUUUGGGAGAUGAGGGGAUACAAGGAUGG
rnacentral:lncRNA from 1 species